rnacentral:tRNA from 1 species
GAUUGAGUGGCAUUUCGGGUGGCGUAACGAUGGGCCGGAAUAUGCAGUAACUCGUAACUUAUUGAAAAAUACAAUAGUGCAGCGGCUUGCAAAGCCACCAACCUCGGUUCGAUUCCGGGCUCAGUUUCCA